GCCUGGGUGGCUCAUUCAGUUAAGCGUCUGACUUCAGCUCAGGUCAUCACCUUGCGGUCUGUGGGUUCAAGAGUCCCACGUCAGGCU
rnacentral:tRNA from 1 species